rnacentral:tRNA from 1 species
GGUUCUGUUGUGUAAUGGUGAGCACGCUGGACUCUGAAUCCAGAGAAACAUAGACGUAGAUGAUACUUACUUUUAUAGAGUAACAAAACUC